GGGUCAGUAGGUUGGUCGUGCCACCGGUACGUACUGGUCUCAUUGAUUCCUCCUUCCUGAAGAACCGUAAUGCCAUUAAUUUGGUGUUGCGGGGAAACAGGACUGUUACUUUGAAAAAAUUAGAGUGUUUAGAGCAAGCUAACGCUUGAAUACAUUAGCAUGGAAUAAUGAAAUAGGACGAUCGAUCCUAUUUUGUUGGUUUCUAGGAUUGACGUA
rnacentral:rRNA from 1 species